UACGGAGGGUGCAAGCGUUGUCCGGAAUCACUGGGUUUAAAGGGUGCGUAGGCUGCUGCAUAAGUCAGGGGUGAAAGUUUGUCGCUUAACGAUAGAAUUGCCUUUGAUACUGUGCGGCUUGAAAUUAGGUGAGGUUGGCGGAAUGUGACAUGUAGCGGUGAAAUGCGUAGAUAUGUCAUAGAACACCGAUUGCGAAGGCAGCUGGCUAACCUAAAUUUGACGCUGAGGCGCGAAAGCUAGGGGAGCAAACGGG
rnacentral:rRNA from 1 species